CCUUAGGUAUGCUCAGGCGGCAGAGCAUGAGACUCUUAAUCUCAGGGUCAUGCGUUUGAGCCCGACAUUGAGCA